rnacentral:tRNA from 1 species
GCAUUAAUGGGGUAGUGGUAACCUGGGUCGUUGCCAUUCGAGUAUAAACUUAAAGCUCGACCCGCCGGGGGUUCGAUUCCCCUUAAUGCA